rnacentral:rRNA from 1 species
CAUAAGCGGAGGAAAAGAAACCAACAGGGAUUGCCCUAGUAACGGCGAGUGAACAGGCAAGAGCUCAGAUUUGAAAGGCACUUUUGUGCCGUUGUAUUCUGAAGUUAGGGUCCUGAGAAACGAUGCUUAAGUCUUCUGGAAAGGAGCGCCAUGGAGGGUGAUAGCCCCGUCUAGCAUUGACCUCAUAUAGGAUCUUAACAUGGAGUCGAGUUGUUUGGGAAUGCAGCUCAAAUGGGUGGUAUGCUCCAUCUAAAGCUAAAUAUCUGCGAGAGACCGAUAGUAAACAAGUACUGUGAGGGAAAGAUGAAAAGAACUUUGAAAAGAGAGUGAAAAAGUACGUGAAAUUGUUGAAAUGGAAGGGUAGGCCGCUAACCAUGUAGAGCCGUGUUUGGGGGGAAGAUAAAUGCUGUAGAAUGUAGCUCCUCGGAGUAUUAUAGAUGCAGUUCAUAUUCCCACCCGAGCGCGAGGAUCUCAGGUUCUACUAAUUCAGGUUUGCCCC